rnacentral:misc_RNA from 1 species
UCAAACUUGGUCAUUUAGAGGAAGUAAAAGUCGUAACAAGGUCUCCGUUGGUGAACCAGCGGAGGGAUCAUUACCGAGUUUUCAACUCCCAAACCCCUGUGAACCUUACCAAUCGUUGCCUCGGCGGACGCCUCCCUCGCGGGGGCGGCCGGCAGAGGACCCAAACUCUCUGUCUUAUUUACCGUGGUAUCCUCUGAGUAACACAAGCAAAAUAAAAUCAAAACUUUCAACAACGGAUCUCUUGGUUCUGGCAUCGAUGAAGAACGCAGC